rnacentral:rRNA from 1 species
AUUGAACGCUGGCGGCAUGCCUUACACAUGCAAGUCGAACGGUAACGGGCCUUCGGUUUCCGACGAGUGUCUAACGGGUGAGUAAUACAUCGGAACGUUCCCUAUCGUUGGUUUUAACGAGUCUUAAGCUUUGCUAAUACCUCAUACCAUCUACGUUUUACAGCAUGUGACCGCAAUGCCUUUCUCCGUCUUAUCGGCCGAUGGCUGAUUAGGUAGUUGGUUGGUUAAAAGCUUACCAAGCCCACGAUCUGUAGCUGGUCUGAGAGGCUGAUCAGCCACACUGGGACUGAGACACGGCCAAGACUACGACGGGAGGCAGCAGUGGGGAAUAUUGGACAAUGGGGGAAAGCAUGAUACAGCAAGGCCGCGUGCAGGAUGAAGGCCUUCGGGUUGUAAACUGCUUUUGUAAGGAAAGAAAAGAAUUAUUAUAAAACAGGAGGGUCAUGACGGUAACGUAAGAAUAAGCACCGGCUAACUACGUG